rnacentral:rRNA from 1 species
GACGAACGCUGGCGGCGUGCUUAACACAUGCAAGUCGAACGGAAAGGCCCUGCUCUUGCGGGGUGCUCGAGUGGCGAACGGGUGAGUAACACGCGUGUAACCUGCCCUUAUCUUUGGGAUAACUCCAGGAAACUGGGGCUAAUACACGAUAGGAGCUCCUGCAGCAUGGUGGGGGUUGGAAAGUUUCGGCGGUUGGGGAUGGUCUCGCUGCUUAUCAGCUUGUUGGUGGGGUAGUGGCUUACCAAGGCUUUGACGGGUAGCCGGCCUGAGAGGGUGACCGGCCACAUUGGGACUGAGAUACGGCCCAGACUCCUACGGGAGGCAGCAGUGGGGAAUAUUGCACAGUGGGCGGAAGCCUGAUACAGCAACGCCGCGUGCGGGAUGACGGCCUUCGGGUUGUAAACCGCUUUCGCCUGUGACGAAGCGUGAGUGACGGUAAUGGGUAAAGAAGCACCGGCUAACUACGUG